rnacentral:rRNA from 1 species
GCGACCGUCAGGAGAUGCUUUUUGUGUUGUCUUGU